UGCUGUAUUUUCAUUUUCCUUGGUAAAUACUGCACUGAUGGUCACGAGAAAUUUGUUUCCUACAGCUAAAAAUGACUACAAAAUAACGAACUUUUAAAAAAUAGUGGCGCGCGCCGGGAAUGGCGUCAUUUUCGAUAUUGCCCGUCAAGCGCGCGCAGACAGUUUGAAAAAUGUAAUACACCUACAAUAACCUUAUUUUCUAGCCAAAGUUGGCAAAAUAGUCCUCGAACUCAAGGCUAAGUUGUAGUCUAAUUAUUCUUCUGGCAAAUCCUCAUCAAAUCUGUGCUUGACAUGUUAUUUUAGUUAGUCAAAAGCUAAGACAACAGGUUCGUGCAAUCCCAGUUAAACAAGAAGGACAGCAAGAUGACGUGAUCAAUUUUCAGAGACCAGUUGAUUCAAGUAGUCUAUAUUCAAGGCUUCAAGUCUAUCGAUUCGCCCCUUAGCAGUGAGGAAGUUUAAAGAAAAUCACGCGCAAGUGCUCAUGGACAGGGUGUCAAACCCCCACCCCCCUAGUACACGAGGAUGGAUGAAAGGGAUCAGUGCGCGUGGCAUCAUGGUACACAAGGAUGGAUGAAAGAGAUCAGUGCGCGUGACAUCAUGGUACACGAGGAUGGAUGAAAGGGAUCAGUGCGCGUGGCAUCAUGGUACACGAGGAUGGAUAAAAGGGAUCAGUGCGCGUGGCAUCAUGGUGCACGAGGAUGGAUGAAAGAGAUCAGUGCGCGUGGCAUCAUGGUACACGAGGAUGGAUGAUAGAGAUCAGUGCGCGUAGCAUCAUGGUGCACGAGGAUGGAUGAAAGGGAUCAGUGCGCGUGGCAUCAUGGUGCACGAGGAUGGAUAAGAGGGAUAAGUGCGCGUAACAUCAUGGUACACGAGGAUGGAUGAAAAGGAUCAGUGCGCAUGGCAUCAUGGUACACAAUGAUCUGGAUGAGAGGGAACAGUGCGCGUGAUGUCAUGGUACACGAGGAUGGAUGAAAGGGAUCAGUGCGCGUGAUAUCAUGGUACACGAGGAUGGAUGAGAGGGAACAGUUCGCGUGAAAUCAUGGUACACGAGGAUGGAUGAAAGGGAUCAGUGCGCUUGACAUCGUGGUCCACGAGGAUGGAUGAAAGGGAUCAGUGCGCGUGGCAUCAUGGUACACGAGGAUGGAUGAAAGGGAUCAGUGCGCGUGGCAUCAUGGUACACGAGGAUGGAUGAAAGGGAUCAGUGCGCGUAACAUCAUGGUACACGAGGAUGGAUGAAAGGGAUCAGUGCGCGUAACAUCAUGGUACAC